UGGCGCACGGGUGCGUAACGCGUAUGCAACCUACCUUUUACUAGAGUAUAGCCCAGAGAAAUUUGGAUUAAUCCUCUAUAACAUCUUUAAAUUUCAUGAUUUUUAGAUUAAAGUUUUAAUGGUAAAAGAUGGGCAUGCGUCCUAUUAGUUUGUAGGUGAGGUAACGGCUCACCUAGACUACGAUAGGUAGGGGCCCUGAGAGGGGGAUCCCCCACACUGGUACUGAGACACGGACCAGACUCCUACGGGAGGCAGCAGUAAGGAAUAUUGGACAAUGGACGAAAGUCUGAUCCAGCCAUGCCGCGUGCAGGAUGAAAGCCCUAUGGGUUGUAAACUGCUUUUAUACAGGAAGAAAAACUCCGACGUGUCGGAGCUUGACGGUACUGUAAGAAUAAGGAUCGGC
rnacentral:rRNA from 1 species